CCUACGGGAGGCAGCAGUGGGGAAUAUUGCACAAUGGGGGAAACCCUGAUGCAGCAACGCCGCGUGAGUGAAGAAGUAUUUCGGUAUGUAAAGCUCUAUCAGCAGGGAAGAAAAUGACGGUACCUGAUUAAGAAGCCCCGGCUAACUACGUGCCAGCAGCCGCGGUAAUACGUAGGGGGCAAGCGUUAUCCGGAUUUACUGGGUGAAAAGGGAGCGGAGACGGCAGCGCAAGUCAGAAGUGAAAGCCCGGGGCUAAACCCAGAAGGGCAAAGGAUAAUGGAAAGCUAGAGGGUAACAGAGGCAAGUGGAACUACUUGUGUAGCGGUGAAAUGCGUAGAUAUUAGUAAGAACACCAGUGGCGAAGGCGGCUUGCUGGGCUGUAACUGACAUUGAGGCACGAAAGCGUGGGGAGCAAACAGGAUUAGAUACCCCAGUAGUC
rnacentral:rRNA from 1 species